UGGUGACCGGGGCGGGGCAGAUGCGACCCUGGCCUUCACCGCGCGACGCCUCCGAUGGCAGCAGCCACGGCGGGAUACUCGUGGUGGGGGACAGAGAGGCGGGAGCAACCAGUAGGAUCACUCCUAGCUGGAAGGGAGAUGUCCUUGACUCCGACAUUGGCAUCUCAAGCCUCCUCGCUGUUCCGACCAAGACCUGAGAGGCAUGUGAGCACCUCUGACCCGACAAAGCUGAUGAUCCAAGCAUGCUGCUACUGAUCCUGCCUUCACCGACAGCCCUUCUUCUGCCAAAGGGAGGAGAGCUAGUUCAAAGCUCAUCGGAGGAGGAGGAACUGAAGAGAGCGACAUUGGGAGGCGGCCUCGUAGGGGAAGCGUGAGGAGGAGGAACACCAUUGCAGCCUAACGAUCACGACGACGGCGACAAGAAGAAUGUGUUGUAUGGUGAUCAGCUGACAAAGCAAGCCUCAAAUCGGCAAGAUUUUGCAUCCCAGUGAAUACAGAGUACGGAAGCUGAUGUUAGUAAUGUAGUAUCCCAGUGAAUACAGAGCAAGGGAAAAGCUCAAGGGAACAAUUCAUAGGCCAUUUAGAGAAAUACAAGUGCUGAAAGAAAACAAGACUGUGGCCAAGAAGAACAGCAUGCAGUACUGAAGGAUGAAAAUAGAAGAGUGAUGCAAACUGGAAGAUGUCCUGAUGGAAGGGAACGAGAUAAACUAACUUGUGGAGAUAAACAGGU